GAUGAACGCUGGCGGCGUGCCUAAUACAUGCAAGUCGAGCGAACAGACGAGGAGCUUGCUCCUCUGACGUUAGCGGCGGACGGGUGAGUAACACGUGGAUAACCUACCUAUAAGACUGGGAUAACUUCGGGAAACCGGAUCUAAUACCGGAUAAUAUAUUGAACCGCAUGGUUCAAUAGUGAAAGACGGUUUUGCUGUCACUUAUAGAUGUAUCCGCGCCGCAUUAGCUAGUUGGUAAGGUAACGGCUUACCAAGGCAACGAUGCGUAGCCGACCUGAGAGGGUGAUCAGCCACACUGGAACUGAGACACGGUCCAGACUCCUACGGGAGGCAGCAGUAGGGAAUCUUCCGCAAUGGGCGAAAGCCUGACGGAGCAACGCCGCGUGAGUGAUGAAGGUCUUCGGAUCGUAAAACUCUGUUAUUAGGGAAGAACAAAUGUGUAAGUAACUAUGCACGUCUUGACGGUACCUAAUCAGAAAGCAACGGCUAACUACGUG
rnacentral:rRNA from 1 species